UACGAAGGGUGCAAGCGUUACUCGGAAUUAUUGGGCGUAAAGCGUGCGCAGGCGGUGAUGUAAGACAGGUGUGAAAUCCCCGGGCUUAACCUGGGAACUGCAUUUGUGACUGCAUCGCUGGAGUGCGGCAGAGGGGGAUGGAAUUCCGCGUGUAGCAGUGAAAUGCGUAGAUAUGCGGAGGAACACCGAUGGCGAAGGCAAUCCCCUGGGCCUGCACUGACGCUCAUGCACGAAAGCGUGGGGAGCAAACAGG
rnacentral:rRNA from 1 species